CGUCAAAUAUUACACGUAAUUAAACGUGGUUUGUGGUUAUGGAAGAUGAAUUACUGUAAUUGGGACAAAGUAUGUGAGUGAAACCAAAAAUGUGCACAGCAAGACAAGACAAAGCACCGCCCAAGGCGUAAAGAAGAAAUGAUGUCCCUUCCUCCCACCUUCUACAGUUUGUUGGUCGGAAUUGGACGGUGUAAAUUGACCUCGUGAGGAAGCGUUUGACGAUGUUGCGUGCGUGAUGCGCAAAAAAAGACGGGCGCACCCAUUAUCAAGGCGUACCCACUGGUGUGUGGUGAAGUGACAGUCAUGAACAUGCAUUAAUCUCGGCCCAUUGCGGCCCACCAGUGCCGGAGCAAACCCAUUAUGCCCCUUCUCGCGUCGCGCUUGCCUUAAAUGGCGCGCAGUGGUGGGGGCAGGUCGUUCCAGCAUCGGGACGCCGCGAAACGAAAGGAACCCCGAAAUGCAACAGUGCGGUGCUUGGGCGUGGCAAAGAUGUGAGUGCACAACCUCCUGGGAUAUCUACCCUGAACCUGAGCCCACUCCAACUUGUCAAGGAGAUACUUUGGCUUUAAAUUGGACAGUAUACCAAACAUCAUUGUGGCCAGGUGAAGUCUCCGACGAGCAGCCAUCUUUAGCAAAUUUGCUGAGUUUAAAAAGGGGGUAACGUGUGUUCUAGGAGGUAUCGUGAAGCAAAAGCGCGCACAUGCAUUUUGAACUCUCUGAAUGAGACGAACAGAUCUAGUCAACAGGCAAGGGCCAUAAACUGUAUCACAAUAAUUAAGUUUGCUUAGUAUAAGUGACUCGCAUAGAGAGGUUCUAAGGCUUUCAGUUAUGUAUGGUCUCAGCUUAUACAGAAGCUUCAGCCGGUAAAAACAAGUUCUGGCACACUCGAGCACGUGACUCUCAAACCUAAGUUUACUGUCAACAAUCAGACCCAGAUUACGUGCUUCCAAAACCCGCUCCAUUUGCUCUCCGUUUAUUGCAAUGUUGAGUUGAAUAUCUUUGAGUUUUUCCAACCCUUUGGGUGAGCCUGUCAGCAUGAAUUUGGAUUUUCUGGGAUUAAGCACGAGGCAGUUGGAAGUGCACCAGAUGGAGAUUCUACUCAGCUGAUUAUUGACUUUGGAUAUGGCAGCAGCAAAGUCUGAUGGUGGGAACGAUAUGUAUAGUUGUAGGUCGUCAGCGUAGAGGUGGUAGUGGCAGUCAGUAAUGUGGUUAAUUAUGUCCGCGCUGUAUAAAAUAUAUAGAAUUGGGCCUAGGAUGGAUCCCUGGGGGACUCCGCGGGUGACUGGUUUGCGUUGUGAUAUAAAUACGGUACCGUCUGUUUUUUUUAGCUCCACAUACUGCUGUCUCUGCGUCAGGUAGCUGUGAAACCAUUGCACUGAAGUUCUGUCAAGACCGUAGAAACUCAAUUUUGACAGCAGUAGA